UGGGGGAUCGUCUAAUGGUAGGACAGCGGAUUCUGACUCCGUCAAUCCAGGUUCGAGUCCUGGUCCCCCAGCCA
rnacentral:tRNA from 2 species